rnacentral:rRNA from 1 species
AUUGAACGCUGGCGGCAUGCUUUACACAUGCAAGUCGAACGGUAACAGGCCUUUGGGUGCUGACGAGUGGCGAACGGGUGAGUAAUGCAUCGGAACGUACCCAGAGGUGGGGGAUAACGCAGCGAAAGCUGUGCUAAUACCGCAUGUGAUCUGAGGAUGAAAGCGGGGGACCGAGCAGCAAUGUUUGGCCUCGCGCCUUUGGAGCGGCCGAUGUCGGAUUAGCUAGUUGGUGGGGUAAAGGCCUACCAAGGCGACGAUCCGUAGCUGGUCUGAGAGGACGACCAGCCACACUGGGACUGAGACACGGCCCAGACUCCUACGGGAGGCAGCAGUGGGGAAUUUUGGACAAUGGGCGCAAGCCUGAUCCAGCAAUGCCGCGUGCGGGAAGAAGGCCUUCGGGUUGUAAACCGCUUUUGGCAGGAACGAAACGGUGUCCGCUAAUACCGGGCGCUAAUGACGGUACCUGCAGAAUAAGCACCGGCUAACUACGUG